CAUUUUAUAUAACAGUUCAUAAAUGGUUAACCAAUACUGGUGGCUCCGGGUAACCACUCACCACCAAUCAUUUGGAAAUUGACACAGUUUUCUCUUCCCUUGACUGAACUUUUCUAACCACAGUUCAACCACAAUCUGUGUUAAUGAGCUAACAUGUGUUCUGUCUGUGAUCCUCGGCUGUGGCUCAGGAAGUGGUGUCAGCAGCAGGACAAGAAGACGCGUCUCGUGUGGGCUCGGUACGGACAGCUCUCACUUAUUUUUCAACACUCUGCAGCCAAAUCCAAGGACAAAGAAAAUGUGGCUUCUGGCCAGUAAAUCUGACAACAGUUGAGUCGCACGGUGUAUUCCAUCGAGAUGAACUUGCCGUUUAAUCCAAAACUGUGACGUUACAAGCUUGAACGAGGAUUUACAGGAAGGACGCAGGGGGCUGACCAGAGGGGGUUUCAUGAAGACGGCUCAGCAAAGUGAUGCUCAGUGUGAAAGCUGUCUCGUGUGAGCCUGACAAACCAGACAGGGAUUAAGUUGCACCUCGAAGCCAACGCAGAGAGCAGAUCACAUCGACUCGCAGUGAGGAAAACACACAAAGCUACGGAACAGCACAAAUUACACAUUCAUCAUUUGGAGAAUCACAUAAUAAAGCAAAAACUGGCAACAAGGCAAGCUGAUCCUGAAGAUGAGCCAGACCAGGACCCGGUUAGUCUGCAGGGAAAGGACCUUUACUCUACCUGCAGCCUGAAGAGGACUCGCUCCAUCAUCACAGACGGAAACCAACCAGCUCAUGUCAUUCUCAUGCUGUUUCAAAAUACUUUCUGAAAACACUUUUGAUGAAACACAGAUCUCACUGCGUCUGCUUCGCUGCAUCCUGGUGCGCCAACCCUUGAGGCUGGACAGGAAAACCUGCAAGUUCCAAAUAGCAGGCGACAACAGCUCCACUCAUGCUGAGUGUUUUCCCCCCUAACAGCCACAGGGGGCAACAAUGAGUCCAUUCCACACUGAAACACUAAACCGACGACACGUGAGAUCGAUCAUUAUUUUCUGUUUUACAUUAGAAAAACAGGAGUAACUGGUUGAUUGGGUUUUUACCUACUUCUUGCACAUUUACAACAAAGUAGAAACUUAUUGAAGAUUUAAAUUUCAUGAGGCGUCUAGUGAGUUUGUGAUCCUAGAUUCAGCCAAAUUAAAUAUGACAGAGGGUGGGAGCAAUAUGACAAUAUAAAGUCAUCAGCUAGUGAUUUCUCCAUACUAUUUAUUCCGAAAUACUUCUGUUUAUAUUAGGCCACUGUGGGCGAUGGUGCAAAUAUCAGAACAGCUUUAUUGUAGUAUUGGAUGUUUAUAUUUUUUGGCAUCAAUGCAAUUAUGCAUCUUUGCCAAAAACAGACUUCCCUGUCUGGCAAUUUCUCCAUCAAGUUUCUUAUUUUUUGGGGGGAAAUGUACUAUAAUCCCAAUAUACUGGACAUAUUAAUAUCCACCUUGCGUGUUUGAUCAUUUUAUCCAUAUCACCUGCUCCUGGCCUGAACCUUAAAAAUUUGUUCAGCUGCCUGGGUAAUACAUUUAAAUAAAAUAUACCCAUAAUAUUAACAAAUAAAAACUCUACUUUGGUUAUUGCCAUGCCAACAGGUAAAUAAAAAAAAAAAUAAAACAUCCCCACUUCUCUCCCCCCACCACACACAGUAAGCCAUUUCGAAAACCCAUUUAUUCACCUAUUAGAGCUAAGUUCACAUCUUUUCUCAGCUACCCCUGUGACUAUGGGUUCAUGGCAAUGGACAUCAAGGCAUGCCCAGAAACUUAGCGCACAAUAGGAAAAGAACAUAGUUAAAACAAGAGGGCUGCAACAAAUCUGGAAAAAAGAAACAAAAAAAAAGAAACAAACAAAAAAAAACAACACAAAAACAAACCGCUUUCAGGAGACUUUACAGGAGUUCAUUUAAUCCCAAGGAUUUCUGGGGGAUAGCUGUAGAGGGAAGAGCUCAUACAAACACUUCACUGUACAUACAGAUUUACAUUGUGUGGGGACAUGAUGUAUAGUCUUGUCUAGCAAGCCCACCUCCGGAUCAAGCAGUUUUCUGUACAGCAAACAGCUGGGGGUCCUGCAUCCCAACUCUACACCUGAGCUGUGUGUGUGUCUGUGGGCUCAGCUGAACAACACAGGAAGGGUGGGGGUUCCAGAUGACCUACAGAGUUGAGUUAGAGUAAACCAAUCACAGACAGACUGCUGUCUCAUCUACUGUUAAGCUGGACAUACAAUAAACUCUAAUACUAUUUAUCAUAUAAGGACAUUGGAAUGCAGACUGCAGUGUAGGCAAACUGGAAAACCACCAACUGAUCUUUUCAGUCAUUUGCAUUGACACUCUGGCUGUAGAGCUGGGAUGCAGACUGAUCUAACACAGCAGGAGGAGAACUUGCACCAGUUUCAUUUUGCAGACUGUUUUGCCUUCCUCCCCUAAAAUGUUGCAUCUGUUCCACAGACGGGGAAAAGACAGAGCAUCACCCACCUUGCGAGUUAUGAUGAGGCAGGGGGCGGAGCUGCCCGCGUUUCAACAUGUGUCCCUCGAUUUUGUAAAACCAUACUUUGUUCUGAUAAUAAAACCAAAAGCAUGAAAAUAAAAUGAAAGUAUAUAUAA